AGGCCUGAUUCUACAAUUGGGCCAUUUUUAUUGUCCAACCUGUUGACUGGCCUAUUUCAUUAAGAGAUCACCUACCAUACAGGUGACAUUAUCUACAGUUGUACAACAUAUUCAUCUUAUCCCUUUUACUUUUCUAAUUUCCAUAAACUGAUACACUUUCCCCAAUUAAUCAGUGAACAUUAUAAUCUCUUUCCCUACGAUGAAUGACCUUGUCCUCAAUGUUAUUGUGCAGCAAAAAAUUUGGGAAAUCGAUGCUUGAUAUAUCCCCAGUCAUUCCAAGUAGCGUUGUCCACGCCAAGGUUUGCCCAUUCAAUUAAAACUUUCUUACCAACACCAUCUUUAACCUUAACUAUUUUUCUACUUAAGAUAGUAAUGGGUUGAAUCAAAACGUGUUCGGAGUCAUCACAUGCCGGAGGUUGAGAUUGAGGAGAUAUAACUGGACCAACUGAUCACUUUAACUAGGAAAUAUGAAAAACCGAAUGUAGCUGUGAACCUGGCGGUAGUUCACGGCGAUAAGCUACUUCGCCGACCCUCUAUAACACCUUUUGAGGCCAAAAGUAAUGCGCGCACAAAUUGAUAUUCUUGUGCACAUCAAUUGGAGAUUGACAAUAAGGCUGUAAUUUUAGUUUGAUAGGGAUGGAGUGGUCAUGACCUCUAUUUGGUGGCAAGGAUUUUGGUUUAGAGAAAAACUCUAGAAAGUCUUGUAAGACUCUAUUGAUCUCAUCAGCCACGACUGAGGUUCACCCUCCUCAGAGUAAGGACAUUCUACCUUGGACCUCGUGAAGUGGUUGUACGACCUUCCAUUAGAAUUAUCCUGGGAAUCCAUCAUUCGAACUCUACUACCCAAAGUUUUUGAAGGAUGCCUCUCUACUGUUCCACUACCCAGAAUGCCAUCCUUGUUCGCGAAGAAUUUCUCCAUCAUCAUAUUCAAUUUGCAAUGCAAUUCGUCCAUUUUUGAGAUAUUUGACUCCAAUUUUUUAUUAGUUUCUGUCAUGUAGUUUUGAAAUUGAUUCUCCAAUUUUUUGACACUUUCCUCCAUAGAUUUUGCAUGAGUUUCGGUUAUAGUUAUGGUGCCAAGAAAAGGCUCUGAUACCACUUUAUUAUGUAUUAAGAAUUGAAAAUAAAAUUUGAUAACAAAACAAUAAUAGAAACAGGAGUUCUUUUAUUAA